UCGAGCUUCCGGUUUGCUUGUUUCGUGUCUUCCGCUGCUUCAUAAACUGGCUAUCACACGCGAGUAUUUUACAUUGCUCAAGCUUGUGAAAAAUGGCAACAAAUUUAACAGCUGUUGACUGUCGUUAUGUUGUUCACACAAGUAUAUCCACAUCAACUACCUUUACUAUAACCACAGAUCAACAUCAUCUCAGCAAGUGCAGUAUUCAUGGGACCAGAACAUUGAUGUGACAUCUGUGACCGAACAAGGACAGCUUUGCUCAGGCCUGGUAAAACAACUGUAGAGCUACAUAUAUGAUUGUCCAACCUCCUAAUCCUCCCUUUACUGAGGAGCCUAUGGAGGUGGACUAACCCUCUAACAAGGAAGAUGAAGACGAGUGACAUUUGCAACAUUGAGGAUUGACCAUUUCGUCCUUGUUUUUACUGAGCAAAGAAAACCCAUAUUUUGUAAACCAUCUUUUGUGAUGCAUUUUCCCUGCAAUGGAGCAAUUUUGCUGUUUGCUUUUGUAGAAAUAAUUCAGAUAUCAUAACUCAAUAAAAUUAAGCAAAUGUACACUUGCAAAA